rnacentral:misc_RNA from 1 species
ACAUCCUACCAUGCAUGCCUCUUCAUUCAUAGCCCAAGAGCAAUAGUUGCAGUGGGUGAAGCUUGUGUUUCCUGUGUUGCAUACCUAUUCGAAAGGCAUUCAGAUGUCCCAUUGUCCGUUGUUCGUCUUGUGCCACGCUUGUUGGGCGUGGCGUGGGGUGAACCCCAAAGCUUUCUUCGUGUUCCAUGUCAGCCACCUUGUGCUGCCCAUGGGCCAUGGAGAUUUGCUCGAGCUCUGGAAUGCAGAAUGCUUUAUGGGUAUUUGGGGUCUUUGGCCUCUUUUUGCCCAAACAAGCGUUCGUUGCUUAUUAGCGCACGACAGCUGUGCCCAUUGUGAGCGUCCGUUCCUUGGUUCGGCCUGCCCAUGAGGUGCCAGCGUCGUUGAGGAAUGCU